rnacentral:rRNA from 1 species
UCUGGGUCGCACGGUUAUGUGCCGUUGCUUUUCGGCUCGGUCUCUACUGGGUCGUGGCAAUCGGUGUCGUGGCUGUGCAGCCUUUCUGCCGUGUCUGUUUCGACAGGUGCUGACGGACUUCGUGUUUGUUGGCAUGCUUCCAGAUGCCUUUAAACGGGUGUCGGGGGCGGGCGGCGCGUUUACUUUGAACAAAUUUGAGUGCUCAAAGCAGGCUUAUGCCUGAAAAUUUNCGCAUGGAAUAAUGGAAUAGGACUUCGGNNCUAUUUUGUUGGUUUUCGGAUCCGAAGUAAUGG